CAGUAAAAUUACGGUACUGAAUUGCUGCCUGUAUUCUGGCUACACCGGGGGAAGCUACUCCAGCUGCUCAGUUCAGAUUCAGGGUGUGAAGCUGGGCGAUGCGGGCCAGCAUCACUUCAGGUUUGAGACAAACCAACCGCUGGGGAGAUGGACCUCACCUGACACCAUUACUCUGGAUGUAGCAGCUCGACUCUCCUGUCUAAACAUCAAUGACUCUGGAAGCGGACAGCGAGGUUUCUGGUGCCUGGCUGGAGACGAGAUUCUGAUUCUUUAAGUGCCAAAACAAAAUAUCAGAAUAAAUAGUUAGAAGGCAGAUUUGUUUUCUCUUCAUAAUUGUUUUCAUUAUUGAUGGUCCACGACACAAAAUCGAUCAGUGCUGUAACUAUGAGUUUAAUAAAAUGUUCUUCUUUCAA